rnacentral:ncRNA from 1 species
UAUUAGAGGCGCAGCGUGUCAGAAGUAUGCGCCGGUGGAAGGCCCGCGGCAGGGCCGUUGCCGGUGCGGAAAGGGGCCGCUGCCGAAGCGGAGGCGUGCCGGGCUUCUGCUGGGCAGGCGGAGAAUAUCCGUCUGACUGUCGCAUUUUGCGGAGAGCUGGUC